rnacentral:snRNA from 1 species
CGGAGGUAGGGUCCAGCGGC